rnacentral:lncRNA from 1 species
GAUGUAGGGGUGUAGGGGUAUUAGGUAGAUGUAAGGCUGUAGGGGUAUUAGUUAGAUAUAGUUGUGUUUGUGGUAUUAGGUAGAUGUAGUGGUGUAGGGGUAUUAGGUAGAUGUAGUGGUGUUGGGUAUUAGGUAGAUGUAAGGAUGUAAGGGUAUUAGUUAGAUGUAGUGGUGUUGGGUAUUAGGUAGAUGUACUGGUGUAUGGGUUUUAGGUAGAUGUAGUGGUGUAGGGGUAUUAGGUAGAUGUAGUUGUGUAGGGGUAUUAGGUAGAUGUAAUGGUGUAGUUGUAUUAGGUAGAUGUAGUUGUGUUUGUGGUAUUAGGUAGAUGUAGUGUUAUUAUGUAGAUGUAGUUGUUAAGGGGUAAUAGGUAGAUGUAGGGGUAUUAGGUAGAUGUAGGGGUGUUGGCGUAUUAGGUAGAUGUAGGGGUGUUGGCGUAUUAGGUAGAUGUAGGGGUGUAGAGGUAUUAGGUAUAUGUAGGGGUGUAGAGGUAUUAGGUAGAUGUAGUGGUGUUAGGUAGAUGUAGUGGUGUUAGGUAGAUGUAGUGGUGUUGGGUAUUAGGUAGAUGUACUGGUGUAGGGAUAUUAGGUAGAUGUAGUGGUGUUGGGGUAUUAGGUAGAGGUAGUGGUGUAGGGGUAUUUGGUAGAUUAAGUGGUGUAGGGGUAUUAGGUAGAGGUAGUGAUGUAGGGGUAUUAGGUAGAGGUAGUGAUGUAGGGGUAUUAGGUAGAGGUAGUUAUGUAGGGGUAUUAGUUAGAUGUAGUGAUGUAGGGGUAUUAGGUAGAGGUACUGAUGUACGGCUAUUAGGUAGAGGUAGUGAUGUACGGGUAUUAGGUAGAGGUAGUGAUGUAGGGGUAUUAGGUAGAGGUAGUGAUGUAGGGGUAUUAGGUAGAGGUAGUGAUGUAGGGGUAUUAGGUAGAGGUAGUGAUGUAGGGGUAUUAGGUAGAGGUAGUUAUGUAGGGGUAUUAGUUAGAGGUAGUGAUGUAGGGGUAUUAGGUAGAGGUAGUGAUGUAAGGGUAUUAGGUAGAUGUAGUGAUGUAGGGGUAUUAGGUAGAGGUAGUGAUGUAGGGGUAUUAGGUAGAUGUAGUGGUGUAGGGUUAUUAGGUAGAGGUAGUGAUGUAGGGGUAUUAGGUAGAUGUAGUGAUGUAAGGGUAUUAGGUAGAUGUAGUGAAUUGGGGGUAUUAGGUAGAGGUAGUGAUGUAGGGGUAUUAGGUAGACGUAGUGAUGUAGGGGUAUUAGGUAGACGUAGUGGUGUAGGGGUAUUAGGUAGAGGUAGGGAUGUAGGGGUAUUAGGUAGAGGUAGUGAUGUAGGGGUAUUAGGUAGAGGUAGGGAUGUAGGGGUAUUAGGUAGAGGUAGUGAUGUAGGGGUAUUAGGUAGAGGUAGUGAUGUAGGGGUAUUAGGUAGAGGUAGUGAUGUAGGGGUAUUAGGUAGCGGUAGUGAUGUAGGGGUAUUAGGUAGAGGUAGGGAUGUAGGGGUAUUAGGUAGAGGUAGUGAUGUAUGGGUAUUAGGUAGAGGUAGUGAUGUAGGGGUAUUAGGUAGAGGUAGUGAUGUAGGGGUAUUAGGUAGAUGUAGUGAUGUAGGGGUAUUAGGUAGAGGUAGUGAUGUAGGGGUAUUAGGUAGAGGUAGUGAUG